UAGGGAAUCUUCGGCAAUGGGGGGAACCCUGACCGAGCAACGCCGCGUGAGUGAAGAAGGUUUUCGGAUCGUAAAGCUCUGUUGUUAAGGAAGAACGAGUGUGAGAAUGGAAAGUUCAUGCUGUUACGGUACUUAACCAGAAAGGGACGGCUAACUACGUGCCAGCAGCCGCGGUAAUACGUAGGUCCCGAGCGUUGUCCGGAUUUAUUGGGCGUAAAGCGAGCCCAGGCGGUUAGAAAAGUCUGAAGUGAAAGGCAGUGGCUCAACCAUUGUAGGCUUUGGAAACUGUUUAACGUGAGUGCAGAAGGGGAGAGUGGAAUUCCAUGUGUAGCGGUGAAAUGCGUAGAUAUAUGGAGGAACACCGGUGGCGAAAGCGGCUCUCUGGUCUGUAACUGACGCUGAGGCUCGAAAGCGUGGGGAGCGAACAGG
rnacentral:rRNA from 1 species